GACGAACGCUGGCGGCGUGCUUAACACAUGCAAGUCGAACGGUAAGGCCCUUCGGGGUACACGAGUGGCGAACGGGUGAGUAACACGUGGGUGAUCUGCCCUGCACUUCGGGAUAAGCCUGGGAAACUGGGUCUAAUACCGGAUAGGACUCCUGGCUUCAUGGUUGGGGGUGGAAAGCUUUUGCGGUGUGGGAUGGGCCCGCGGCCUAUCAGCUUGUUGGUGGGGUAAUGGCCUACCAAGGCGACGACGGGUAGCCGGCCUGAGAGGGUGACCGGUCACACGGGGACUGAGAUACGGCCCAGACUCCUACGGGAGGCAGCAGUGGGGAAUAUUGUACAAUGGGCGCAAGCCUGAUGCAGCGACGCCGCGUGAGGGAUGACGGCCUUCGGGUUGUAAACCUCCUUCAGUAGGGACGAAGCGCAAGUGACGGUACCUACAAAAGAGGACCGGCCAACUACGUGCCAGCCGCCGCGGUAA
rnacentral:rRNA from 1 species